UACGUAGGGGGCAAGCGUUGUCCGGAUUUAUUGGGCGUAAAGAGCGUGUAGGCGGCCUGAAAGGUCAGCUGUGAAAACUCGAGGCUCAACCUCGAGACGUCGGUUGAAACCAUCUGGCUAGAGUCCGGAAGAGGAGAGUGGAAUUCCUGGUGUAGCGGUGAAAUGCGCAGAUAUCAGGAAGAACACCCGUGGCGAAGGCGGCUCUCUGGAACGCAACUGACGCUGAGACGCGAAAGCGUGGGGAGCAAACAGG
rnacentral:rRNA from 1 species